UCUGUUUGUGAUUAGCACGCAGCCCCGCAGAAUGGAGUAAACAGAAACUUCUAGGCGUCCCCACACCCCCCUCCGAGGCACAGCAGAAGUCAGAUGCUCCAGGAUUAAUCGCGGAGAGCUCAGGACACGACCACAAACGCCGUGUGGACUUGCAACUUGCUGCCUUUUCCCAGUCCCCUUGCCAAGAUGGGAGUGGGGGGGUGGGAUGCGAAGGGGUGGGGGCCCCGCCUGCCGGGGACCACAUGGAAUCCUCCCAGGCAGAGCUCCGAGUGACACUGACGGGCAAAUCGGCGGCGUCCAGAGCCGCAGGCAGCAUCCGGGGGCACGGGCCGCUGGGGGCGCCCCAGGCAGGCUUCCUGGAACCCCGGCUCCACAGCUGCCGGCACCCUGACACAGGCCAGAUAAGAGCCGGCCGCGCUAUCAGGGCCAGCAGCGCACAGUCGCAACGACCACGGGGACAGCAGGCUCCUGGGAGGCGGCGCAAGUCCUGGCUGGAGUCCUGCCCUGAAUGGGAACCCAUUUGCUACAGCGACCAACCAGGCUGCUCCCAGGAGGAUGGUGACAGGCUCCUGAAGGUCCGGACCUGCUGCUGGAACUGGCUCGGCCUUAGGCUCAAGCCCAGACCCGAGUGGUGGUCCCAGCUCCAGGGUGAUUGGCUAGUCCCGAAGCCCCCUGGGUCGCCCCCUCGGUCCCGGGCAAACAAGGACCUUGGCACCUAUGAUGUUACUGUGCUCCUGAGGCUAUUUUCAUCGAGGGUGGCUGUCGGGUGGGAAUACUGUCACGGUGUGCUGCCGUGCGUCUCUUCCCAACUUCAUUUUUAGCGACGUCAGCCCACGAAGACCCAAACCAUUCCUUUCAAUGCCGGCAUGACACAAGCCCCAGGAGGUUGUAAGAAGAAAGCCCUUUCGACAACCACGUCUCCACUUGCUAACCAGCUCUCCAACUUUCUCGGUCCCAAAACAUGAGUAGAGCCCAGCUGCCUCCACUCUUCAGUAAGAAGAAUUUGACCGGCUCUACCCGCCGCCUGUAACUGGACGCUAACCACCUCCUGUCUCCUCCACUGCAUCCGCCCGGCCCAAGUGCCAUCAUCUUUCUCUGGACCAUUACAGUUGCCUUCUCACUGGGGUCUCCGCUUCUCCUCCUGCCGCUCUGACAGUCUGUUCUCCACUUGCAGCCAGUCGGGUCCUGUUUAAAGGAAAUCAGAUCCUGUCCUUCCUCUGCUCAGGACACCAUCGUCUCCCAAGUCCUGGCUCCCACCUCACCCAGGGUAAAAGGCAAAGUCCUCACCAUGGCAACAAGGUCCUGCAGGAUCCUGGAGCUCAUCCCCUCACUCUGCCCCUCACUGCACUUGCUGUUUUCAAUUGUGCCAGGCACAGUCCUGCCUCAGGACCUUUGCACUUGCUUUCCCCUCUGCCGGGGCACUCAUUGUCCAGAUCUCCACUGGCUCACUCUUCCGUCAUCCACUAUACUAUAUAUUUUUCUUUUCUUCAAUGUCCCCUAAAAUGUAAGCUUCC